rnacentral:rRNA from 1 species
UGGGGAAUAUUGCACAAUGGGCGGAAGCCUGAUGCAGCGACGCCGCGUGGGGGAUGAAGGCCUUCGGGUUGUAAACUCCUUUCGACAGGGACGAAGCUUUUGUGACGGUACCUGUAUAAGAAGCACCGGCUAACUACGUGCCAGCAGCCGCGGUAAUACGUAGGGUGCGAGCGUUGUCCGGAAUUACUGGGCGUAAAGAGCUCGUAGGUGGUUUGUCGCGUCGUCUGUGAAAUUCCGGGGCUUAACUCCGGGCGUGCAGGCGAUACGGGCUGACUUGAGUGCUGUAGGGGAGACUGGAAUUCCUGGUGUAGCGGUGAAAUGCGCAGAUAUCAGGAGGAACACCGACGGCGAAGGCAGGUCUCUGGGCAGUAACUGACGCUGAGGAGCGAAAGCAUGGGUAGCGAACAGG